rnacentral:lncRNA from 1 species
GUCCAGAAGAAGGAUUUGCUAAUGCUUGGCUCCCACCUGUGCUCUGCAGUGAGACGUGGCAAAGCCCAAUCCUCAACCCUCCUUCCUGAGAUCAGAGAAACAGGAUUUUAUUGAAAACUCCUGGAGAGCAUCCUUCUGUCACUUUCAUUUCAAGUUCCAUCAUACUUCAACUUUUGGAAGGUCUUAUCCCUCUGCCCAGAGGCAACCAGCCUGAGAUGGUAUCCUCAGGAUUAUCUCUGCACGAAAACAGCAGAAGGAUCCUAAUGGCACAUUCAGUGUGGUUUCAUUUAAAGAAUUUCUGCAUGUCCUUAUUUUUGGUCAGUGUGCACUUUUCUUCUGUGUGGGUAAUGCUGGAUAAGAAUUGUUUCAUUUGCACCAUUUGCAAAACUCAUCAGGCCCAGAAGGGGCAAAUUUUAUCGCAGAAGUUUGAUAAGUGCAAGGCACCCAAGGCCCACUCUAGCAGAAUGACAUGGAAGCACAUGUGUUGUCUGGUGAAGAGCAGCCCCACUCCACAAAACUCACAGAUGUUUUUGAGAUGCAGCAGCACUGCCUUGUUUUGCAGCACAGACCUACAAAAGCACCUCUUUAUUCAUUUAAAAUGCCAUGGUAUGGAGAGUGGCUGA